GGGAACAUACCCUUUUCUACGGAAUAGCUCUGGGAAACUGGAAUUAAUACCGUAUACGCCCUACGGGGGAAAGAUUUAUCGGGGAAGGAUUGGCCCGCGUUGGAUUAGCUAGUUGGUGGGGUAAAGGCCUACCAAGGCGACGAUCCAUAGCUGGUCUGAGAGGAUGAUCAGCCACAUUGGGACUGAGACACGGCCCAAACUCCUACGGGAGGCAGCAGUGGGGAAUAUUGGACAAUGGGCGCAAGCCCGAUCCAGCCAUGCCGCGUGAGUGAUGAAGGCCUUAGGGUUGUAAAGCUCUUUCACCGAUGAAGAUAAUGACGGUAGUCGGAGAAGAAGCCCCGGCUAACUUCGUGCCAGCAGCCGCGGUAAUACGAAGGGGGCUAGCGUUGUUCGGAAUUACUGGGCGUAAAGCGCACGUAGGCGGAUAUUUAAGUCAGGGGUGAAAUCCCAGAGCUCAACUCUGGAACUGCCUUUGAUACUGGGUAUCUUGAGUAUGGAAGAGGUAAGUGGAAUUGCGAGU
rnacentral:rRNA from 1 species